AACAUUUGUGACCAGCCUAGGCGACAUAGUGAGACCUGUCUCUACAAAAAAUAUAUAAUUAGCUGGGCGUGGUGGCGCGCGCCUGUGGUCCAAGCUUCUCCGGAGGCUGAGGUCGGGGGAUCGCCUGAGCCCUGGAGGUCGUUGCUGCAUUGAGCCGUGAACGCACCACUGCAUUCCAGCCUGGGCAACAGAGCGAACUCUAUCUCAAAACAAAACAAAACAAAACAAGAAAAAGAAAAAAAGAAGAAAAUUAAAAAAAAAAAGAAAGAAAAAGAACGUCCCAGGUCUGUUGAAGCACUAAGAAAAGCAGAAAAAGAAAGGGGAGCCAGGGAAGGGCUGGCAGGCUGUGCAAUUUAAGGGAGCACCAGAAAAACUGGCAAUCAAAUAAUAUAUUAAUGUAAUAUUUUAAAAAGUAAAAAUUAAUGCAGGAAAUCCGGGAGGAACAAAAUAAGAGUCAUGUGUACCUUAACAACAGGGUAAGGUCUGAGGAUUGCGUCAUUAGGCGAUUUUGUUGCUGUACGAACACCACAGAAUGUACUUUGACGACCUAGAUGGUGGAGCCUGGACACACCUCGGCUCUGUGGUGUGGCCUGCUGCUUCCAGGCUGCAAACCUGACAGCAUGGGGCUGUACUGAAUACCGCAGACCAUUGUAAUUCAUGGGGAAAGCGCGAAUGCAGUCCCCCACUACAACAAAUUAUGCAGUCGAGUUUUCCACAUUUGGGAAUAUCACAGGGGUCAGCACAUCCGGAGUGCAAUCGAUGAGCCCCACGCUGGGAAAAACCACCUUCGUGAUCAUGGUAUCUUCCCUGCCAGGUAAAAACCAAUCAGCUUCAUUUUCAACUUCUUCUAUGACUCCAGAGGAUUCACUUUGCAUCUUGUGACAAAUGAAUAUAUUACCUGAAAAAAAA
rnacentral:lncRNA from 10 species